rfam:Ralstonia pickettii 12J chromosome 1, complete sequence.
CCUCAUCGAUCUGCUGCGGGCAGAUGAAGUGGAUGUGCGUGUCGACGCCGCCGGCGGUGACGAUCAUGCCUUCGCCCGCGAUGAUCUCGGUGCCGGGGCCGAUGACGAUGGUCACGCCGGGCUGGAUGUCCGGAUUGCCCGCCUUGCCGAUCGCCGAGAUGCGCCCGUUCUUCAGGCCGAUGUCAGCCUUGACGAUGCCCCAGUGGUCGAUGAUCAGCGCGUUGGUGAUGACGGUGUCGGUGCAGUCUUUCGAUUCGCGCUGGCUCUGGCCCAUGCCGUCGCGGAUG